GAUGAACGCUGGCGGCGUGCCUAAUACAUGCAAGUCGAGCGAACAGACGAGGAGCUUGCUCCUCUGAUGUUAGCGGCGGACGGGUGAGUAACACGUGGAUAACCUACCUAUAAGAAUGGGAUAACUUCGGGAAACCGGAGCCAAUACCGGAUAAUAUAUUGAAACGCAUGGUUCAAUAGUGAAAGACGGAUUUGCUGUCCCUAGUAGAGGGUACUUGGUUGGAUUGGUAAGUGGGUAGGGUAACGACCAUCCCAGGCGACGAUGAGUAACUGACCUGAGAGGAUGAUCAGCCACAUUGGACCUGGGACACGGUCCAGACUCCUACGGGAGGCAGCAGUGGGGAAUAUUGGACAAUGGGCGAAAGCCUGAUCCAGCCAUGACGCGUGUGUGAAGAAGGUCUUCGGAUUGUAAAGCUCUUUAAGUUGGGAGGAAGGGCAGUAAGUUAAUACCUUGCUGUUUUGACGUUACCAAAAGAAUAAGCACCGGCUAACUUCGUG
rnacentral:rRNA from 1 species